rnacentral:lncRNA from 1 species
AUACCAAGCAUAGCCCGCAUGUCAGUGCAGUCAGCUUGCAGCGGGCUGUGAGGGAGAGUGCCUUUGUCCUGAGAAAUGUGCUUUGUGUUUUUCUUUUUUACUGCUUUCUUUUUAAACCCCCAAGACGGGCUCGAGAAGUCUUCUGAAAUGAUUUUUUAAAGCCGAAUAGAAGACACAAUCAGACACCUUCCACAAGCCCUUGACGGGUUUUGUUUGAGUCUGAUUUUUGUGUGUGUGUGUGUGUGUGUAUGAUUUUUAAAAACCUUUUACAUACUUUGUUUUGAUCUCCUGAGGCUGGGCCUCUGUCUUCCUGAAGUUUUAGGAGAGCCUGGAGCUACUCAGCUAAGACUGAAUUUUGAAACUUUCUCUUUGGGGGUGAAAGCAAAGAACUGUUUUUCUUUGCUAGCCGGACAGAUAAAUGCUGUUUAUGAAGAUGGACCUGUUGAACUACCAAUACUUGGACAAGAUGAACAACAAUAUCGGCGUUCUGUGCUAUGAAGGUAGAUGUUCUAGAAUGUACUCUUUGCUUUUGUGAUGGCCACUCCUCCUUUGGAGGGGGGCUUUGACUGGCUUAUGAACAUUUUCUUGUCUUUCUUGUGAUGGUGGAGCGAGUGGAAAGAGAGUUGUGUACCAUUUCAGGACAGUUCGCUUUUGCCCGGCAGGAGGGUGGCAGCCGGGGAGGGCUGGAGGAGACACGCUGUUAAAAGUUUACUUGUGAUGUACUAGCAAGGUCUGACAAGAUCGUUACAUUAUAAGUGAUUUUUCUCUUUUGAUUUUGUUGGCAUUUUAUGCAUAAGUAGGAAUUUACAGAAGUAAGGAGAAGUUAAACAUGUGGGUGCUGGAGUAGAGGGGAGGGGCCUUGGGACUUAUUUUUAAACGUAUCACCGUGUACAGUGUUCGGUGUGGACCCUUGCUCUGAAUUUCAUGUGGUAGAGGAACAACAGCAGAAAGCCACAGUAAGUUGUUGUUUUCCUGAGCCAUUGUCUCAGGCAUCAAGGGGUUUUUUUCCUGUGAGGUUUGUGGGACUGGCAGGGCCUGGUGUCAGGGAGCCCAGGCCGGGCUCUUUGUCUGCCGCCCCAUUUCCUGUGCAGAGAGCUGACAGUGAGACAGGCUCCCUCCAACCCCAGUCCCUGGCAAUUACACCAUAAGCAGCCGGAAGGCUGAAGAAAGUGGAAAAUACCCCCACCCCUAGAUUUGCCCAUCACCUCCCCUUCCCCUGGGCACUCCCUGUAGUAAGUUAAGCUUCUCUGGAGAAAACCCCAAUCCCAUCUUUUGGAAUCUUACCUACGUGCGAUUUGAGACCAGGGUAAUGGGGCUGAGUUGUGGCACUGGCCGGGCAGGGAGAGACCUGGGGCUGCCGGGAGUCUUUCCUGGUGUCUUCCUGCUGUGGGCAGCAGGCUCUGGGGUCUCUCACCUAGUAAUCCUAGAGAGUUGUCUGCUUUGUCUUGAACAGAAGUUAAAAGAGGGAGCAGAGUUGGUUGUGUUCGUGUAAAAGUUUAAGAUCUGCUUCUUAAGUUGUUGAAAACAUACCCUUUCUCUCUCAAGCCUGCUUUAAAAUUAACUUUAUGGGGGAAAAAUCUCAUUUAAAGGGGUUUUGUUGUUGUUUUGCCUUUUUAAAAAUAAGAUAUCACUUUACUUUGACAAGUUUCCUCUACAUAUAAAAAGCACCUCAGCUUCUCAGCUUCCAAACCCUCUCGUCUCAAAGGCUGGAUUCUCCAGAAGCCACCAGACGCGAUUUCUGCUGGGAUUCAUGCAUUGUCUUU